CAGCUGCCACCCCUUGCCACCCCGGUGGUUUCGCCACUGGUGUGUACCGUGUUUAAUACAUCCUGCUCAGAACGCAUUUUGAACGGUAGCGCAACCACAAGAUGUCGCUUUCAUAGUUGAAGACCUAUGGCAACCUACGCAUUUCCACCAGACUGUAUGGUAACAUGUGAGUGCUGGUACCGCCUACCUCAAAUACUCACCGACUUUGACAACGAGUGGCUACUUUGCUUAAAGGUGCGUUGGACGUUUCGACAGGGCUUCUUGAUAGAAGACUACACCGAGAAUGAAUUUAUGGGGUGAUGCUGCAGCUCUGCUGCUCCUGACAGCAGUGUGUCUGAGUUUCUGUGCGGAGGCCCUGGAGAAGGUGGAGGCCCUGGAGAAGGUGGAGGCCCGAUGCCAUUCUAACGUCAGCCUCCCCUGUGAUGCACGAGCUCACAGCCAGAACUACCGCUCUCUCACCUGGUACAAGCUGCACAGCCGGACGAGUAUCCUCAAGAGGAAGGGGGGUAAUAUCACCACAUAUGAUUACCCCCGUGCAGUUGCCCUUGGGCCUCAGGGGGAGCUGAUCCUGCCCCGUGUUACCCCCAAUGACUCGGGCACCUUCGAGUGCCUCCUGAGGGCAGACCUUGGGGGGCAGAA
rnacentral:lncRNA from 1 species